GUCAAAUGGCGUCACAAGUUGAUUCCCAGUUGUAUUUAGGUGAGAUUCCUUUUUGCACACUAGAUCCAAAUUCAGGCCAGCUUGUAUAUUGGUUAUUUGACGACUUCACUGACAAAUACUUUAAGUUCAGCUACUGCUGAAUUCUUCGUAUGUGAAACCGAAAGUUUUUCCGACAUGGGCAUUAUUUAUGGUGAACCUCGUGUUGACUAAAGCAGUCCGAUUGAGUACUUUCAAGACCUCAACUAUACACCGAGGCAUAUCUAUUUGUUGGGUUUUGUAUAAAAUGAUUUAAUGUUUAACUUAACUCAUUGAAGAAUGCCAAGGACUUAUGUGAGAAAAAACAAUGAGUAGAAACCGACUGAAGAAAAUAUUACAUCUGCCAUUACUAAUGUUCUCAUUGGUCGCUACACAAUCAGAAAGGCUGCUGAAAUUCACAAUGUUAAAAAAUCUACUCUGUGUUAUUAUAAAUCCCAACAUACCUUGUCCAGUGUAAUGUUGGUCCGAUUCAUCAAGAGAAAAGAAAAUCACAGUCAAAUUUUCAAUUUCAAACAAGAAGAACAUCUUGCACAGUAUUUGAAGGAAUGAUGUUUAUACAACCAUAGUCUGUCAAUUCAAGAGACGAAGAAGCUCGCCUUAUCAUUUGCACAAGCAAACGACGUGAAUGCUCCACAGAAUUGGCUAGAGAAAGAAGAAGCUUCCAAGGACUGGCUAACAUGUUUUUUUUAAAUGGAAGCGAAAACAUUUUAUCUGGAUUUGUGAAAGCUGGCAUUUGGCCAAUUAACAGAAGUAUAAUCCCCGCAUCUGAAUUCAGCCCGAGUUUAGUUACGGACAGAUUGGAAAUCGCAAAUGCUUCCACUGGGAAUGCAGGAUCAACCAAAGACUUUAUCUUGAAUUCAAAUAUAAAUCUGGCAAUCAGGUCAUCAGUUGAAACUUUUUGCGACAAGCCUUCUACUAGUGGUGACGCAAAUACUAUUGGUAAAGAAAUUCUGAUUCCGUCCGUAACGCGUUCGGAAAUGUUUUUUUGGUACUAUCCGGCCAUUUCCUAAAGUUUGUCAAACACCAGUUACUCGCCGGACUUCUAGUCGAUUAGGAAGGACAAGAAUUUUAACAGAUUCACCAGAAACUAAAACUAUUGAAGAAGACUUCAUGAAAAAAAGGAAAAAAAAUUUAAAAUGAAAAAAAAAAAUACAGUCAAACGUCAACUGACACCAA
rnacentral:lncRNA from 1 species